rnacentral:rRNA from 1 species
UGGGGAAUAUUGCACAAUGGGCGAAAGCCUGAUGCAGCAACGCCGCGUGAGGGACGACGGCCUUCGGGUUGUAAACCUCUUUUAGUAGGGAAGAAGCGAAAGUGACGGUACCUGCAGAAAAAGCACCGGCUAACUACGUGCCAGCAGCCGCGGUAAUACGUAGGGUGCCAGCGUUGUCCGGAAUUAUUGGGCGUAAAGAGCUCGUAGGCGGUUUGUCGCGUCUGCUGUGAAAACCCGAGGCUCAACCUC